UACUUUUUUCAGCUUAUGAAAAAUAUUUUUUUUCUACUACUCAACACACUUACUUUAUUUAUAACAGCUUGGUCAAAUACCUUAACUCUUUAAAAUAAAUAUUUUUUUUAAUAAGAAAAGUAUUUUUGGCUUCCUAAUGGCUAUAAGAAAGAGGAAACCGCAAAAUUUAAGGUGACUAUAAUGGCUGCCGCCUGCUAAUGAUGAAAUACAUCAUGUAUAACUAAUAUUUCGUGCAAUCCAAGGUAUAAAGAUAGAGGCUAUCCUUAACAAUUUAAUGAGGAAAGGAAUUACUUUUAAAAAAAACAUUGAAAGGGCAUAUUUUCUUUGGGGAGUUUGAGAGAACGGGAGAUAUACAAACACAUAGGGGAAGAAGAAUAGAUUAAGAAAAAACAGAGAGGAGAAAAAGGAUAGAGAUUUUGACGACGAUGUACACACACAAUUGACAAAAACAGAGGAUAAACACCAUAGAUGGAUGAAAAAGAUUCCCAAAUAGCAAAAAUAGAGGGCAAUAUUGAGCUACGUAUAGAGACAGCAGUGAGAGGAGAGGAUGGAUAUACAAUAGAGAGAGACGAGGAAGUGAUGCGCACAUAUCCUUUCUUCCACCCCUGCUUCUAUCGGGAAACACCUCUAACGUUCCAUUGGACUACCACCCCAGAAAUCACCUCUAAUCCACCCCUUGAAACCACCGAGAACCGCCCCUGUUUCAGUUUAAAACCAGUGACAAAAACAGCUCCAACAAUCACCGUGAACACCCAUAAAUCACGAAAAAUCAGCAGAAAAUAAAUGGGAAGUAGCUGAGGUCAAAAAGGGAGGUUGAGGGCUUGUUCGAGUUGCCAGUUCUCCGGUCGAGGUUCAUUUGAUUUCUGUUCUGAGUUGUUUUGAGAUUCAAUCAAUCAACGUUUGGAUUUAAUUUGAGGUCCAAUUCUUUC